ACAUUGGUGGUUCAGUGGUGGAAUUCUUGCCUUCCAUGCAGGAGACCUGGGUUCAAUUCCCAGCCAAUGCA
rnacentral:tRNA from 2 species